rnacentral:rRNA from 1 species
GACGAACGCUGGCGGCGUGCCUAAUACAUGCAAGUAGAACGCUGAAGGAGGAGCUUGCUUCUCUGGAUGAGUUGCGAACGGGUGAGUAACGCGUAGGUAACCUGCCUUGUAGCGGGGGAUAACUAUUGGAAACGAUAGCUAAUCCAGCAUAACAGUAGAUAUCGCAUGAUAUCUACUUGAAAGUUGCACUUGCCUCACUACCAGAUGGCGCUGCGUUGUAUUAGCUAGUUGGGGAGGUAACGGCUCAACAAGGGGACGAUACAUUGGCGACCUGAGCGGGGGAACGGCCAAACUGGGACUGAGACACGGCCCAGACUCCUACGGGGGGCAGCAGUAGGGAAUCUUCGGCAAUGGACGGAAGUCUGACCGAGCAACGCCGCGUGAGUGAAGAAGGUUUUCGGAUCGUAAAACUCUGUUGUAAGAGAAGAACGAGUGUGAGAGUGGAAAGUUCACACUGUGACGGUAUCUAACCAGAAAGGGACGGCUAACUACGUG